rnacentral:rRNA from 1 species
AGUGAACGCUGGCGGUAGGCCUAACACAUGCAAGUCGAACGGCAGCACAGUAAGAGCUUGCUCUUACGGGUGGCGAGUGGCGGACGGGUGAGGAAUACAUCGGAAUCUACUUUUUCGUGGGGGAUAACGUAGGGAAACUUACGCUAAUACCGCAUACGACCUACGGGUGAAAGCAGGGGAUCUUCGGACCUUGCGCGAUUGAAUGAGCCGAUGUCGGAUUAGCUAGUUGGCGGGGUAAAGGCCCACCAAGGCGACGAUCCGUAGCUGGUCUGAGAGGAUGAUCAGCCACACUGGAACUGAGACACGGUCCAGACUCCUACGGGAGGCAGCAGUGGGGAAUAUUGGACAAUGGGCGCAAGCCUGAUCCAGCCAUACCGCGUGGGUGAAGAAGGCCCUCGGGUUGUAAAGCCCUUUUGUUGGGAAAGAAAAGCAGCAGGUUAAUACCCCGCUGUUCUGACGGUACCCAAAGAAUAAGCAUCGGCUAACUUCGUG